UCAGUGAUCAUCGAAUCUUUGAACGCAUCUUGCGCCCCUUGGCAUUCCGAGGGGCACACCCGUUUGAGCGUCGUGAAACUCUCAACCCUUCUCCCUUUCUUGUUGAACCGGGAGGAUGGCUUGGACUUUGGAGGCUUCUGCCGGUCUCAUCCCUCUUAGAACCGGCUCCUCUUAAAGAAAUUAGUGGGGUCUCAUUUGCCGAUCCUUGACGUGAUAAUAUUUGACGUCUUUUUUUUAGAGGGAUAGAGAACUUGCUUCCCAUUGGUUCAUUCAGGGGACCCCCGUUAAAUCCAAGAUCCCAAUUAACCCCCCUUGACCUCAAAUCGGGUGAGAAUACCCGCUGAACUUAA
rnacentral:rRNA from 1 species